GACGAACGCUGGCGGCGUUCUUAACACAUGCAAGUCGAACGGAAAGGCCCUGCUUUUGUGGGGUGCUCGAGUGGCGAACGGGUGAGUAACACGUGAGUAACCUGCCCUUGACUUUGGGAUAACUUCAGGAAACUGGUUCUAAUACCGGAUAGGAGCUCCUGCUGCAUGGUGGGGGUUGGAAAGUUUCGGCGGUUGGGGAUGGACUCGCGGCUUAUCAGCUUGUUGUUGGGGUAGUGGCUUACCAAGGCUUUGACGGGUAGCCGGCCUGAGAGGGUGACCGGCCACAUUGGGACUGAGAUACGGCCCAGACUCCUACGGGAGGCAGCAGUGGGGAAUAUUGCACAAUGGGCGGAAGCCUGAUGCAGCAACGCCGCGUGCGGGAUGACGGCCUUCGGGUUGUAAACCGCUUUCGCCUGUGACGAAGCGUGAGUGACGGUAAUGGGUAAAGAAGCACCGGCUAACUACGUG
rnacentral:rRNA from 1 species